rnacentral:rRNA from 1 species
UCCUACGGGAGGCAGCAGUGGGGAAUAUUGCACAAUGGGCGCAAGCCUGAUGCAGCCAUGCCGCGUGAGUGAUGAAGGCCUUAGGGUCGUAAAGCUCUUUCGCCUGUGAUGAUAAUGACAGUAGCAGGUAAAGAAACCCCGGCUAACUCCGUGCCAGCAGCCGCGGUAAUACGGAGGGGGUUAGCGUUGUUCGGAAUUACUGGGCGUAAAGCGCGCGUAGGCGGAUUAGAAAGUUGGGGGUGAAAUCCCGGGACUCAACCCCGGAACUGCCUCCAAAACUGCUAGUCUAGAGUUCGAGAGAGGUGAGUGGAAUUCCGAGUGUAGAGGUGAAAUUCGUAGAUAUUCGGAGGAACACCAGUGGCGAAGGCGGCUCACUGGCUCGAUACUGACGCUGAGGUGCGAAAGUGUGGGGAGCAAACAGGAUUAGAUACCCUGGUAGUCCACACCGUAAACGAUGAAUGCCAGUCGUCGGAUAGUAUACUAUUCGGUGACACACCUAACGGAUUAAGCAUUCCGCCUGGGGAGUACGGUCGCAAGAUUAAAACUCAAAGGAAUUGACGGA